UACGAAGGGGGCUAGCGUUGCUCGGAAUCACUGGGCGUAAAGGGUGCGUAGGCGGGUCUUUAAGUCAGGGGUGAAAUCCUGGAGCUCAACUCCAGAACUGCCUUUGAUACUGAAGAUCUUGAGUUCGGGAGAGGUGAGUGGAACUGCGAGUGUAGAGGUGAAAUUCGUAGAUAUUCGCAAGAACACCAGUGGCGAAGGCGGCUCACUGGCCCGAUACUGACGCUGAAGCACGAAAGCGUGGGGAGCAAACAGG
rnacentral:rRNA from 1 species